GACGAACGCUGGCGGCGUGCCUAAUACAUGCAAGUUGAGCGAUGAAGAUUGGUGCUUGCACCAAUUUGAAGAGCAGCGAGCGGGUGAGUAACGCGUGGGGAAUCUGCCUUUGAGCGGGGGACAGCAUUUGGAAACGAAUGCUAAUACCGCAUAACAACUUUAAACAUAAGUUUUAAGUUUGAAAGAUGCAAUUGCAUCACUCAAAGAUGAUCCCGCGUUGUAUUAGCUAGUUGGUGAGGUAAAGGCUCACCAAGGCGAUGAUACAUAGCCGACCUGAGAGGGUGAUCGGCCACAUUGGGACUGAGACACGGCCCAAACUCCUACGGGAGGCAGCAGUAGGGAAUCUUCGGCAAUCGACGAAAGUCUGACCGAGCAACGCCGCGUGAGUGAAGAAGGUUGUCGGAUCGUAAAACUCUGUUGGUAGAGAAGAACGUUGGUGAGAGUGGAAAGCUCAUCAAGUGACGGUAACUACCCAGAAAGGGACGGCUAACUACGUG
rnacentral:rRNA from 1 species